ACACACUGCUCAGAAUCGGUUUUCGUUCGCAAUGGUUUAUCGUUGCGUCGAAUAAUUACUCUGUAUAUUUUCCGUCCUUUAAACUUUUCUCUUAAAGCAGCCACACGCCCAACAUGAGCAGUAUUAGCUUCUUUUUUUUUACAUUUGCGCCGGGUGUACCUAUAUAAUAUUUCAAUUACGCCUAUUUUAAAUGAAUCAAUGUUUAAACCGAAAAAAAAAACUAAAAUAAUGCGAAUUUACCACACACGGGUAGUCGUUAUAAAGUCGGUUUG